AAUGUCGUCGAUGACAAGCAACGGAUAGCCCGAGGGCAUGCACGACCAGAACGUCGCGUAAUUUUCGACCGGGACAACAGAUCAACCGAUUUCCACAUACAAAUUCCGCAAGGGAGCAGAGAGUUGACGGGGGGAUACGAGCAUCAGAUAUUUUCGUACGCCAUUCAACCCAUUUCCAGAGAGUUGAGAAAACAGAAACGAUUCAAGAUACGAAUAAGGAACCAACUUAACGAGUGCACAGGGAAAGCGAAGAAUGGUCAAAAGAGCAGCAGCGUUUUGGAAGACUCUCGCAAGCGUUAGAAUUCAUGAAUCAUUUUUUUCUUCCGACAGAUGAAUAACAAUUCUUAACUUGCGCAACUUUAUCGCUACUCGAUUUAAUACGAAACGAUUAGAAGAUGACGAAUUUAUUCAUGCUUAUAAUAUCCUUUGAGCGACAUAAAAUUUGAUUUAAAAAGUAA